rnacentral:tRNA from 1 species
GAGAGAUGAACUGCAAGAACUGCUAAUUCACGCACCUGAAGUUAAAACCCUCAGAUCUCUCA